rnacentral:rRNA from 1 species
CGCGGCCUAUCAGCUUGUUGGUGAGGUAAUGGCUCACCAAGGCGACGACGGGUAGCCGGCCUGAGAGGGUGACCGGCCACACUGGGACUGAGACACGGCCCAGACUCCUACGGGAGGCAGCAGUGGGGAAUAUUGCACAAUGGGCGAAAGCCUGAUGCAGCGACGCCGCGUGAGGGAUGACGGACUUCGGGUUGUAAACCUCUUUCAGCAGGGAAGAAGCCACAAGUGACGGUACCUGCAGAAGAAGCGCCGGCUAACUACGUGCCAGCAGCCGCGGUAAUACGUAGGGCGCAAGCGUUGUCCGGAAUUAUUGGGCGUAAAGAGCUCGUAGGCGGUUUGUCGCGUCUGCUGUGAAAGCCCGGGGCUUAACCCCGGGUGUGCAGUGGGUACGGGCAGACUAGAGUGCAGUAGGGGAGACUGGAAUUCCUGGUGUAGCGGUGGAAUGCGCAGAUAUCAGGAGGAACACCGAUGGCGAAGGCAGGUCUCUGGGCUGUUACUGACGCUGAGGAGCGAAAGCAUGGGGAGCGAACAGGAUUAGAUACCCUGGUAGUCCAUGCCGUAAACGUUGGGCACUAGGUGUGGGGGACAUUCCACGUUUUCCGCGCCGUAGCUAACGCAUUAAGUGCCCCGCCUGGGGAGUACGG